AGACCCGAAACCCGGUGAUCUAGCCAUGGGCAGGUUGAAGGUUGGGUAACACUAACUGGAGGACCGAACCGACUAAUGUUGAAAAAUUAGCGGAUGACCUGUGGCUGGGGGUGAAAGGCCAAUCAAACCGGGAGAUAGCUGGUUCUCCCCGAAAGCUAUUUAGGUAGCGCCUCGUGAAUUCAUCUCCGGGGGUAGAGCACUGUUUCGGCUAGGGGGCCAUCCCGGCUUACCAACCCGAUGCAAACUGCGAAUACCGGAGAAUGUUAUCACGGGAGACACACGGCGGGUGCUAACGUCCGUCGUGAAGAGGGAAACAACCCAGACCGCCAGCUAAGGUCCCAAAGUCAUGGUUAAGUGGGAAACGAUGUGGGAAGGCCCAGACAGCCAGGAUGUUGGCUUAGAAGCAGCCAUCAUUUAAAGAAAGCGUAAUAGCUCACUGGUCGAGUCGGCCUGCGCGGAAGAUGUAACGGGGCUAAACCAUGCACCGAAGCUGCGGCAGCGAACGUAUCACUUAAAGCGAUUCAGCGGGUUACGAUUGACGGAGCGAAGCGACGUCAAAGCGUAUACAAAGUCGAGUCGGUUUAAGGAUACGUUCGUUGGGUAGGGGAGCGUUCUGUAAGCCUGUGAAGG
rnacentral:rRNA from 1 species